ACUUCCUGAGCCGGAACGAAGAGCUUUUUUUGGAAUGCGUGUUCCAACAAGCUUUUGGCUUACGGUUGUGAUGUUGUGUUGUUGUGUUUGCAAUUGGUCUGUCUUUGCGGACCAUGGUGGCUAAGCUACCCCCUUUUCACUUCCUGUACAUUUACCCUGUCUGUCCAUAGUGAUUUAAUGUAGCACCGCAACGCGCGGUGCUUUUUUUU
rfam:Raoultella ornithinolytica strain S12, complete genome.